rnacentral:rRNA from 1 species
GCGGCGUGCUACCAUGCAAGUCGAACGAUGAUCCCAGCUUGCUGGGGGAUUAGUGGCGAACGGGUGAGUAACACGUGAGUAACCUGCCCUUGACUCUGGGAUAAGCCUGGGAAACUGGGUCUAAUACCGGAUACGACCAUUCCACGCAUGUGGUGGUGGUGGAAAGCUUUUGUGGUUUUGGAUGGACUCGCGGCCUAUCAGCUUGUUGGUGGGGUAAUGGCCUACCAAGGCGACGACGGGUAGCCGGCCUGAGAGGGUGACCGGCCACACUGGGACUGAGACACGGCCCAGACUCCUACGGGAGGCAGCAGUGGGGAAUAUUGCACAAUGGGCGCAAGCCUGAUGCAGCGACGCCGCGUGAGGGAUGACGGCCUUCGGGUUGUAAACCUCUUUCAGUAGGGAAGAAGCGUAAGUGACGGUACCUGCAGAAGAAGCGCCGGCUAACUACGUGCCAGCAGCCGCGGUAAUACGUAGGGCGCAAGCGUUAUCCGGAAUUAUUGGGCGUAAAGAGCUCGUAGGCGGUUUGUCGCGUCUGCUGUGAAAGACCGGGGCUCAACUCCGGUUCUGCAGUGGGUACGGGCAGACUAGAGUGCAGUAGGGGAGACUGGAAUUCCUGGUGUAGCGGUGAAAUGCGCAGAUAUCAGGAGGAACACCGAUGGCGAAGGCAGGUCUCUGGGCUGUAACUGACGCUGAGGAGCGAAAGCAUGGGGAGCGAACAGGAUUAGAUACCCUGGUAGUCCAUGCCGUAAACGUUGGGCACUAGGUGUGGGGGACAUUCCACGUUUUCCGCGCCGUAGCUAACGCAUUAAGUGCCCCGCCUGGGGAGUACGGCCGCAAGGCUAAAACUCAA